UUUAUUAAAAGAAAGAGGAAAAAUUAUUUUUUGUAAGUACAAAUAUAAAAUGCAUAUUAAAACAAUAUAAACAAUUUAUAUAUAAAAAUGUGUAAAUUGCAUAUGUUAUCGUAAAAAUUUGUGUAUAAAAAGUGUAUGAAAAUAAACAAAAGUACAUUAGAAUAUGUAUAUAUAAAAAAAUAAAAAGAUUAAAUAAAGAAAUUUUUUUUCAAAGAAAAAGAUUACGUAAUGUUUUUAGCGUAGGAAAUAUGAAUUAUUCGAUUAAAUAUCUAAAUCAAUUUUAGUAUAAAUAUUGGCGGCCUAAAAUUGCCUAACACGUGGUGAGGAUUGUGUAAAUAAAGAAUAUCCCACCCAACACCAAUUAAUAUCUGUACAAUGAUAAGUAUAAAAGAAAUAUAAAUACAAAAAAUUCAAACUUUUCUUUGAAUAUCAUUCCCGACGAGUAUUCCCGAGAACCUGUACAAACACUUGUAAUAAAAAUAUUAGUAACAAAUAAAUAAUUAUAAAAAGGCAUGUGCACAUAUAUGUAUUUACAAAAAUAUAUUUUUUAUUAAAAGCGGGCUCAGAUAAAGUUUUUCAAAAAAUUAUAAAAUUUUCAUCAUUUUCCUAAAAAUUAUUUAUUUUAUUACGUAUUUAUAUGUAAUAUCCGUCUUUUUAUUUGCAAAGGCCUCAAAAAUCGACGAAAAAUUUCUUCAUCGACUAAGUGUCGGCCCUUAAUAUAAAAUAAUAAAUUUGUGAAAAUAAAGUCCGUCUUUUAUAAUAGGGUGGCCUCAAAUAUCCAGACGGAGAGAUAAUUUCAUUGGCCAUAUUUAGUGUAGAAUCAUGUUUCUUGUCUGUUGAAUUAAAUAUAAAGGACAAAGUCGUCCUAAGCAGUCCUUCAAAAUAGUAGCAGCUCACCCAAGAAAAAUCAUAAAAUUGUGCUAAGUCACUCCACAAAUAAAGUAAUAACAAAAGAAAGGCAACGUGAAUAUAGUAGCUAGCAUCAUACAACAAUAAUAAAAUAGAAAAGCAAAAGGCAUAAAAAAAUUAGCAUCUAAAUAUAGCAAAUUGUCUAGAAUCCAUGGAGUUUGUGCGUUUUAGAAAGAGAGAAAAAAAUGAAAGAAAAUAUUUGGGAGUAAAAAUGUA
rnacentral:lncRNA from 1 species